rnacentral:lncRNA from 1 species
AUGGUUUUCAUCUUUUUUUAAAUGAUGAGAUCCAAUAUUAGAUAAUCUAGAGACUUUUUUGGUGGAGUUUGAUCCAUGUAUGGAAAACAUGAUGCAAUUUGUGUUGUAAUCAGUAAGAUCCAUAUAUUACGACAAGGUAAUUGAUCAGUAACAUUAUAUGCUUUACAAUUUUAAUAACUUGCAACUAAUAACAAGUAGGAUGAUGUUGCACUAAUUAGCCAAUUUUUCUAUGGAUUACAAUAUGAAGUAAAAAAAUUAAUGCUCAACUUACUUGAUCCGCAAACAUUGAGUCAAGCAAUUGACUUUGCUAAGAAGUGUGACAAUUACCUUUUUGAAUUUUGAUCUGAGAACCGUAC